UGGCAGGAAAGUGCUGGGCUAAAGUGCGCUUCAUGUUUGAUGAGUAUAAUCAGGCCGUGAGUGAGGCCGGACCCAGCAUCCCUGUGGAGAUCAUGGGUUGGAAAGAUCUUCCCUCUGCUGGUGAGGAGAUCCUGAAGGUGGAAUCAGAGGCACCAUAUGCGGGUUCAAUGUCGCUGCAAAUAAAUCGGUUCAGCAGAUGGCUGCAAAGAAGGGAAUUCCCUUAAAAUUACACAGAGUCAUCUACAAACUCAUAGAUGAACUCAAAGACGACCUGAGCAGCAAACUGCCCCCGACCACAGAGGAAAAUAUAAUUGGCCUAGAUAUAAUAUAUACAGACUUUCCUGCAGUGAAACAUACACAUAGUAAAAUGUGUUAAAUGGAGCUGAGGCCAACCGGACAAAAAGAUGAAAUUCAGAUUUAUUCAAGGGAGAAAUAUUCUCUGGGAAGGAUCCGUGACAACACUGAAACAUCUGAAGGAUGAAGUUCUGGCAGUAAAGACAGGUAUGGAAUGUGGCCUUUCUCUAGAUAACGAAGAACUUGGAAUACAAACCUGGGGAUGAAAUCAUUUGUUACAGUGAAUCUGAGAUCAAACUGAAAAUAUCCUGGGAUCCGGGAUUUUAACGGACUGCAUUUGGCACAUCAGUAUACUAUGCUCUAUAGUAUGCAUGCACAUUUAUAAAACAAAAUUGGCUAUAGCACAGCUACACCGUCACCAACAGAUAAU